GACGAACGCUGGCGGCGUGCCUAAUACAUGCAAGUCGAGCGCAGGAAACUGACGGAACUCUUCGGAGGGAAGGCAGUGGAAUGAGCGGCGGACGGGUGAGUAACACGUAAGGAACCUGCCUCAAGGAUUGGGAUAACUCCGAGAAAUCGGAGCUAUUACCGGAUAGUUCAUCGGACCGCAUGGUCCGUUGAUGAAAGGCGCUUCGGCGUCACCUUGAGAUGGCCUUGCGGUGCAUUAGCUAGUUGGUGGGGUAACGGCCCACCAAGGCGACGGAGCAUGGCCCACCUGAGAGGGUGGUCGGCCACACUGGGACUGAGACACGGCCCAGACUCCUACGGGAGGCAGCAGUAGGGAAUCUUCCACAAUGGACGAAAGUCUGAUGGAGCAACGCCGCGUGAGUGAUGAAGGUUUUCGGAUCGUAAAACUCUGUUGUAAGGGAAGAACACGUACGAGAGGGAAUGCUCGUACCUUGACGGUACCUUACGAGAAAGCCACGGCUAACUACGUGCCAGCCGCCGCCGUAACAC
rnacentral:rRNA from 1 species